AGAAAAACUACCCAGUUGAAAUUUGGUGCUAUACAUCAAAAAGGAAAAACUAGCCCUUAAAAAUAUCAAAUACAACAAGUAAUUUUCCAGCUCAUCCCAUGCGAUCUUUGGGUAAAGGCAUUUUUAUACCGGCUGUUCUUAUGAUGAAAGUUUUUGCUUGUCUCGCAAAUUCCUAAAAGGUCCUUUUUUCCCCUCAUUGUCCCUCCAUUAAAAAAACAGAGAGAGAAGAGAGACAAGGGGCCUGAGAAGAAGGAAAAGCGAGGCCGAGAAGGGUGAGCGAUGGUGGAGGAAAAAGGAAAGAACAACAGAAAAAGGGAAUUAGGAAGUGAAAUGGCAGAGAGGAAAAAAAAGGACGGAAGGGAUGAGUUUGCAGUCGAGGACCGGAAGCAUAUUGGAAGCGGCGGCGGGAUGUCAGCGUUGCGAAGCGCAUAGGGAUGUGAAAUUGGUAAGCAGUGAGCAGCAGUCAUGGACAUAAGCAGUGCAGUCUCAAUAUCUUUUGUUGCAUUUCUCUUUAUCAAAGAGAUUACAUACUCCAUGAAGACUGCAUCACAAGGUAAUCUAAUCGGUCCAUCACAUGUGAGGCCAAACUCUUCCUUUGACAUUUCAAAGAGACGGAUGAUAAGCGGAUUGUUGAGAUAUGUGACCGGGAAGGCAAAGCGCCUUUCAUCUACUGUAUAGACAAUAAAGUGGCCCUUAUCUGCCAAUGAUGGUGUGCCUUGAUCUGCUCUUCUGCUGGCUCCUGGCAGUGAAAUUCUUUUCCUCUUAAGGGCUGCUAGGUGCUGCCACUUCUUCGCCAUCUUGAUGAGUUUCUUUGAGCUGAUCAUUUUGUCUUGAGAAAAUGAACCUGAAAAAGAAAGAGGUGGAUAACUUCUUUCUAGAGUACUGGAAAAUUGGGAUUACUGACUGAUGCGGAAUGCAAUGGGAUUGGAUGAGUUAUAUAACACAAGCCCAGUGAGACACUUCUUUUCAUGUGGGUUACACUUUGAGGGGAAUCAUGUAUACAAAACCAUGUGGCAUAUGUUUUUACCACUGUUUCUAAGGACCACAAAACAAAGGCACAGAUGAUUGGAUACGCA